UUGUGAAAAUGUACCCUCCUGAUAAUCCACACGGGGAUGUGGCCAUGUACUGCCUUAGAGGAAGCUGGCAUCACACCGCAGAUCAUGAGCUUCACAAAAAUUUGGCUGUAAGCAGUGCCUCGCACCUUUAAUUUGGAAGCAAAUUUGGAAUUUUCAACCCAGAGUCCAUCCCUGGAAGCCAAUGGAAGCGUGAGGUCUGAGGUGCUGAGGCUGCACGGGUAUGAUCAGAAAGCAGAAAACCAGCUUGCAAAUAAAGUCUGUGAGCAAAGAGGGAUCUAAGACAUAGAGAGGAAGGGUGUUACGGUGGGGUCACUCCAUGAAAACAGUCACUGUUUUUCAGACAGGGGCAGAGCAGAAGUUAACAGCUGGAAAAAGAGUGAUGUUGAACCUGGCUGCAUGGUCUUUAAACAUCCUAUGGUAUGCAAUAGGAAAAGUAUCCAUUACAUUUAGAAUUAUGCUUUAUGUUUGAUUUAUUUGUGGUUUUUGUUUCCAGUCUUGUGCCUGACUUAAAGUCUGACUUUAAUUCUUAAGCAAAGCCAAUGGGUGUAUUUAAGACUAAAUCCUGAAGAGGCAUACCUCCAAACUAAGCUCUUCUGUCCGUGUGGGUGGAAGACAGAAAACACAUAUCACACAAACCUUCUGUCAGCUUCUUUCAUAUUAAUGAAGCCUCUCUCUUAAAUGCUUUUUCCCGUGCUUGUGUUUCCCUACAGAAAAAGUGGAGUCUUGCAUUCUCCGUGCACAUGAACCAAUACCCUAACUGGAUGUGCCCCAAAACACUCUGAUGCAAAUAUGAACCAUGAAGGAAUGCACUUGAAUUCCAGAAUGCUGGAAAUGAAGGAAGUCCAGGAAGAGGAACGAGCAGAGCUGGGGUCCAGCUGUAGGGGCAGCCUUCCAACAGGUUUCUCACUCCUCGAACCCCUGUGGAUGCGACAUUGGGAGGAGACGUGGCACAUCUGCUGUAGGUAUGCCCAUGAGUCCAUAAACCCCAGGACAAUCCCAAGAGACCUCAGUCCUUUGGGUGAUGGGAACGGACAAGCAGGGUCACGAGGCCACAUGUCAGGUUGCUGCUUCUAUUUAUAAGCUGCUUGUAGGCAUAUUUUAUGUAUGCAUUUACGUGUUUGUAGGCACGCAUGUGCAUGUAGACAAAAACUAUGGCAGUGCGUGCAUGGUCUGUACCAUAGCCACAAGAUGUAAAAUUCCUGUCCUGAUAGGAACCAUGCUGGCUAAAAGCUGAGCUGACCCAUUUUCAGUCACAUUUCCCAUGACCCCAAGGCAUGGAAAGCACAUCAUGAUGCUUUGAGCUGUGGGCUGGCCUUUGGCAAAGCCACAUGUUCCACACCCUGCUGCCCACUUGAGCCACAUCCAUAUGACCAGCCUAGCACAGGCUGGGUAUGAUGCGUGGCACAGCAUCAC
rnacentral:lncRNA from 1 species